AAAUAGAUAAAGAAACUCAUGAAUUAGUUUUGGAAUUCCAUGGAGUCGGUUUCCUUAGUGGUGAUAAUGAAAGCAAAUACUGGUAGGUAUUUGUUUAGGACGGUUCUAAGGAUAGUUAUAAAAGAAGAACCUGACUGACACAGAUCAACGAGCAGCUCAAACCACUCGAUCUACAAAAUUUUACAUGUAAGUAUCAAUUACGAAAUAAAGGACGUUGGUUUCAAAAGAAAGUUCUGUAAGUACAAAAAUAACCGAAAAUUAACCAAUAGAUACUGGAAGACAGCUAAAGGCAAAACCUAAUAACCUAGGUAGGUUAUAAGCGGAGCUUUGCUGGAUUAUAAGGAGGUACUUA